GUCUGGCUGGCUCAGUUGGUAGAGCAUGCAACUCUUGAUCUCAGGAUUGUGAGUUCAAGCCCCAUGUUGGUCA
rnacentral:tRNA from 1 species